GAUGAACGCUGGCGGCGUGCCUAAUACAUGCCAGUCGAGCGAACGGACGAGGAGCUUGCUCCUCUGACGUUAGCGGCGGACGGGUGAGUAACACGUGGAUAACCUACCUAUAAGACUGGGAUAACUUCGGGAAACCGGGGCUAAUACCGGAUAAUAUAUUGAACCGCAUGGUUCAAUAGUGAAAGACGGUCUUGCUGUCACUUAUAGAUGGAUCCGCGCCGCAUUAGCUAGUUGGUAAGGUAACGGCUUACCAAGGCGACGAUGCGUAGCCGACCUGAGAGGGUGAUCGGCCACACUGGAACUGAGACACGGUCCAGACUCCUACGGGAGGCAGCAGUAGGGAAUCUUCCGCAAUGGGCGAAAGCCUGACGGAGCAACGCCGCGUGAGUGAUGAAGGUCUUCGGAUCGUAAAACUCUGUUAUUAGGGAAGAACAAAUGUGUAAGUAACUAUGCACGUCUUGACGGUACCUAAUCAGAAAGCCACGGCUAACUACGUG
rnacentral:rRNA from 1 species